CGUGUAGGCGGUCCGUUAAGUCUGAUGUGAAAGCCCGGGGCUCACCCCCGGAAGGGCAUUGGAAACUGGCGGACUCGAGUCCCGGAGAGGAGGGUGGAAUUCCUGGUGUAGCGGUGAAAUGCGUAGAUAUCAGGAGGAACAUCGGAGGCGAAGGCGGCCCUCUGGACGGUGACUGACGCUGAGACGCGAAAGCGUGGGGAGCAAACA
rnacentral:rRNA from 1 species